rnacentral:rRNA from 1 species
UACGAAGGGGGCUAGCGUUGCUCGGAAUUACUGGGCGUAAAGCGCACGUAGGCGGUCUUUUAAGUCGGGGGUGAAAUCCUGGAGCUCAACUCCAGAACUGCCUUCGAUACUGGAAGACUCGAGUCCAGGAGAGGUGAGUGGAACUGCGAGUGUAGAGGUGAAAUUCGUAGAUAUUCGCAAGAACACCAGUGGCGAAGGCGGCUCACUGGCCCGGUACUGACGCUGAGGUGCGAAAGCGUGGGGAGCAAACAGG